UACGGGGGGGGCAAGCGUUGUUCGGAAUUACUGGGCGUAAAGGGCUCGUAGGCGGCCAACUAAGUCGGUUGUGAAAUCCCCAAGCUUAACUUGGGAACUGCAUCCGAUACUGGAUGGCUUGAAUCCGGGAGAGGGAUGCAGAAUUCCAGGUGUAGCGGUGAAAUGCGUAGAUAUCUGGAGGAAUACCGGUGGCGAAGGCGGCAUCCUGGACCGGCAUUGACGCUGAGGAGCGAAAGCUAGGGGAGCAAACGGG
rnacentral:rRNA from 1 species